UUCUUUAGUCGCGGUAUUGCAACCGACCACAACGUAUCGUUUAGUUGUCGUGAAUAUAAUUGUUGAACAGGCAAAAGAGCGAAGACAGUGUGUUCGAUCAGACAAACAAAACAAAAUUCAAACGAAUACGAAGUAAUAUUAGUCAUCAAUAUAAAGUAGCAGUUAAUGUGAUUUUAUAGUUCUCUUUUUUUUGACCAUUUUCUUCGGUUAUCAUUGAAGAAUAAUUCGUUGGAAGGUUUAGAGAGAAAAAAAACAGUGGACGUUUUUAGUGUGAAAAGUAUUUCAACUAAAAACAAUAAUUGUGUGAUAAGAUAAAGAACUGCUAUCUUUUAAAAAAAAAUUCAAAAUUUAAUUCCAUUUGCUAAAUGUUGUGGAAGCUACACCCAAAAAGCUCAGCAUUUACCAAUAGACUUAUAGUUGAAAAUUUCAUCAAUGUGAUAUAAGGAGACGAAUUUAGUGACUCGAAAUAGAUGAAACAAAAAAUAGUGUGGCUGUGAACAUAAAGUCCUUAAAAUAGUUGUCAAAGUUAGAGUUAACUUACAAAGUAUUAAAUUCCAAUCAUAGCUUAAAUCUGAUUUCGCCAACAAGGAACAAAAUAAUUUGCUUUGUACGUCGUAACCAAACAAAGAUUUCCUUGAAUAUUUGGAUACAUAUCAGGCUGUAAGUUGUGAUCGCAGAUUUACAAUUGAUUUAAUUAAUUAAGUCAUUUCGAAACUCCAAACAUAUCAAACGAAUGAAAAAUGGAUCGGGAAAACACACUGCCGUUAUUACGAUUUGUUUUGUCUGUAUCCUUGACAAUAGCAGCGACAUUUGCGGCGCCUGUACAAAAAACUACACAAGCUGAGAUUUAUUUAUCACAAUUCGGCUAUCUACCACCAUCUGCAAGAAAUCCAGCCAAUGGAGGGCUUUUGGACAGUAGUACUUGGUCGAAGGCGAUAAUGGAUUUUCAAGGAUUCGCUGGUGUUAACGUAACUGGCGAACUUGAUGAAGAAACAAUGGAACUAAUGGCAUUGCCUCGAUGUGGCGUCAAAGAUAAAGUUGGAUUUGGAACAGAUUCACGAUCGAAACGAUACGCACUACAAGGUAGUCGAUGGAAGGUCAAAGCAUUGACAUACAGAAUAUCGAAAUAUCCGAAGAAAUUGAAUCGACAAGAAGUUGACAAAGAAGUAUUGAAAGCAUUCAGCGUGUGGAGCGACUAUACCGAUUUGACAUUUACCGCGAAACGAGCGAAUCCGGUACACAUUGAAAUUCGCUUUGAAGAAGGUGAACAUGGUGAUGGUGAUCCUUUCGAUGGGCAAGGUGGUACCUUGGCUCAUGCAUAUUUCCCUGUGUAUGGAGGUGAUGCACAUUUUGACGAUGCUGAGUAUUGGACUAUUAACAGUGCACGUGGAACGAAUUUGUUCCAAGUGGCUGCUCAUGAAUUCGGACAUUCGUUGGGAUUGAGUCAUUCCGAUGUUAGAUCUGCGUUAAUGGCACCGUUUUAUAGGGGUUACGAUCCAGUGUUUCGAUUGGAUUCUGAUGAUAUUCAGGGUAUCCAAGCUCUGUAUGGUAAGAAAACUACAGGCGGUGGAUACAAUCCAGUUCCGGCACCUAAGCCACAGCCCAAACCAAAUGUACCAAGUGACAACAACGAAAUGUGCACCGAUCCCAAAAUUGACACUGUCUUUAAUACUCACGACGGAGCUACAUACGCUUUCAAGGGAAACCAAUAUUACAAAUUAACUGAAAAUGCUAUAGCUGAAGGAUAUCCGAAGCUUAUAUCGCAAGGAUGGCCCGGUCUACCUGGAAACAUUGACGCUGCAUUCACCUACAAAAAUGGAAAGACCUAUUUCUUCCAAGGAUCGAAAUACUGGCGAUAUUCUGGUAGACAAAUGGAUGGAGACUAUCCCAAGGAUAUCAGUGACGGUUUUACAGGAAUACCGGACAAUUUAGAUGCUGCAUUAGUAUGGGGUGGAAAUGGAAAAAUUUACUUCUACAAAGGAACCAAAUUCUGGCGCUUCGAUCCACUGAAGCGACCGCCAGUCAAAUCAACCUAUCCAAAACCGUUAUCGAAUUGGGAAGGUGUGCCAAACAGUAUAGAUGCUGCACUACAAUACACCAAUGGCUACACGUACUUCUUCAAAGGCAACAAAUACUAUCGGUUUAAUGACCGAACAUUUUCGGUCGACGAUGCCAACCCACCUUUCCCACGUCCCACAGCCCAUUGGUGGUUCGGCUGUUCGAAUGUACCUUCAGCAUUCGAUUCAUUAGGUAAUGUAAUUGCAUCUGAUAACACCGAUAAAGAAACCGAUCAUGAUGUCGGAGAUAUUGUCUUUGAUGCAGGCUUUAGUCUUCGAAGUUAAUCCAAAAAUAUAAAAAUGAAAAAUUAUUAUUUUUUCUAAUAAAAAAAAAUUAAAUGCUCAAAUUUUGUCGUCGACGCAGCUCAGCCCAGUGUUUUUAUAUUAUCUGGAACCGACGAUCGACCUGCACAUGAUGACUAUAGUGGUAAUAAUUCUGGAAGUCGAACGCAUCUAGUUUCUUCAAUAUUACUAACAUCAAUUAUUGUCACAUUAAGCAAAUAUGCCAUGUGCUAGUAAUAUUAAUUUCCACCAGAGUGUCGUCGAGGUAUAAUUUUUAAUUUAGAUGUCAAAGUUUAUUCCAAGAAGAAGAAAAAAAUUUCCACGCCAAAUACAAACAACCAGUUGAGUGCCUUCAAUAUUAUUGUAAAUAUUUUUUUUGUGAAAAUUUAUAAAUAAAUG